UAGCAGGUUAGUUACGGUGCAGCUUGUGUCGUGCUGUAUUGUCGUUCCCCCUGCUAAAAUUAACCUGUUUCCAGCUAUCCCUGUCUGUCUACACCCCUCGGACAGCCAGGGACGCAAGGUCUCAGACAU
ensembl:snoRNA SNORA63 Small nucleolar RNA SNORA63